UUAUGGCCAUAUCACAUUGAAGCAUUGGUUCUUGUACAAACACUGAAGUUAAGCAAUGUCAAGCCUGGUCAGUACCUAGAUGGGUGACUGCUGAGGAAUACCAGGAGCUGUAUG